rnacentral:rRNA from 1 species
AUGAGGCGAACCGGGGGAACUGAAACAUCUAAGUACCCCGAGGAAAAGAAAUCAACCGAGAUUCCCCCAGUAGCGGCGAGCGAACGGGGAGGAGCCCAGAGCCUGAAUCAGUGUGUGUGUUAGUGGAAGCGUCUGGAAAGGCGCGCGAUACAGGGUGACAGCCCCGUACACAAAAAUGCACAUACUGUGAGCUCGAUGAGUAGGGCGGGACACGUGGUAUCCUGUCUGAAUAUGGGGGGACCAUCCUCCAAGGCUAAAUACUCCUGACUGACCGAUAGUGAACCAGUACCGUGAGGGAAAGGCGAAAAGAACCCCGGCGAGGGGAGUGAAAAAGAACCUGAAACCGUGUACGUACAAGCAGUGGGAGCCUCUUAAUGGGGUGACUGCGUACCUUUUGUAUAAUGGGUCAGCGACUUAUAUUCUGUAGCAAGGUUAACCGAAUAGGGGAGCCGAAGGGAAACCGAGUCUUAACUGGGCGUUAAGUUGCAGGGUAUAGACCCGAAACCCGGUGAUCUAGCCAUGGGCAGGUUGAAGGUUGGGUAACACUAACUGGAGGACCGAACCGACUAAUGUUGAAAAAUUAGCGGAUGACUUGUGGCUGGGGGUGAAAGGCCAAUCAAACCGGGAGAUAGCUGGUUCUCCCCGAAAGCUAUUUAGGUAGCGCCUCGUGAAUUCAUCUCCGGGGGUAGAGCACUGUUUCGGCAAGGGGGUCAUCCCGACUUACCAACCCGAUGCAAACUGCGAAUACCGGAGAAUGUUAUCACGGGAGACACACGGCGGGUGCUAACGUCCGUCGUGAAGAGGGAAACAACCCAGACCGCCAGCUAAGGUCCCAAAGUCAUGGUUAAGUGGGAAACGAUGUGGGAAGGCCCAGACAGCCAGGAUGUUGGCUUAGAAGCAGCCAUCAUUUAAAGAAAGCGUAAUAGCUCACUGGUCGAGUCGGCCUGCGCGGAAGAUGUAACGGGGCUAAACCAUGCACCGAAGCUGCGGCAGCGACACUAUGUGUUGUUGGGUAGGGGAGCG